CCUACGGGCGGCAGCAGUGGGGGAUAUUGCACAAUGGGGGGAACCCUGAUGCAGCGACGCCGCGUGGGUGAAGGAGUGCUUCGGCAUGUAAAGCCCUAUCGGCAGGGAAGAAGCAAGACGGUACCUGACUAAGAAGCCCCGGCUAACUACGUGCCAGCAGCCGCGGUAAUACGUAGGGGGCGAGCGUUAUCCGGAUUUAUUGGGUUUAAAGGGUGCGUAGGCGGAAUAUCAAGUCAGCGGUAAAAAUUCGGGGCUCAACCCCGUCGUGCCGUUGAAACUGAUGUUCUUGAGUGGGCGAGAAGUAUGCGGAAUGUGUGGUGUAGCGGUGAAAUGCAUAGAUAUCACGCAGAACUCCGAUUGCGAAGGCAGCAUACCGGCGCCCAACUGACGCUGAAGCACGAAAGCGUGGGUAUCGAACAGGAUUAGAUACCCUAGUAGUC
rnacentral:rRNA from 1 species